AUUGAACGCUGGCGGCAUGCCUUACACAUGCAAGUCGAACGGCAGCACGGGUGCUUGCACCUGGUGGCGAGUGGCGAACGGGUGAGUAAUACAUCGGAACAUGUCCUGUAGCGGGGGAUAGCCCGGCGAAAGCCGGAUUAAUACCGCAUACGAUCUACGGAUGACAGCGGGGGACCUUCGGGCCUCGCGCUAUGGGGUUGGCCGAUGGCUGAUUAGCUAGUUGGUGGGGUAAAGGCCUACCAAGGCGACGAUCAGUAGCUGGUCUGAGAGGACGACCAGCCACACUGGAACUGAGACACGGCCCAGACUCCUACGGGAGGCAGCAGUGGGGAAUUUUGGACAAUGGGCGAAAGCCUGAUCCAGCAAUGCCGCGUGUGUGAAGAAGGCCUUCGGGUUGUAAAGCACUUUUGUCCGGAAAGAAAUCCUUGGCCCUAAUACGGUCGGGGGAUGACGGUACCGGAAGAAUAAGCACCGGCUAACUACGUG
rnacentral:rRNA from 1 species